rnacentral:rRNA from 1 species
GCUGCCUCCCGUAGGAGUCUGGGCCGUGUCUCAGUCCCAGUGUGGCUGGUCGUCCUCUCAGACCAGCUACUGAUCGAAGCCUUGGUAAGCCUUUACCUCACCAACUAGCUAAUCAGACAUCGGCCGCUCCAAAAGCGCAAGGUCUUGCGAUCCCCUGCUUUUCUCCUCAGAGAUUAUGCGGUAUUAGCGCAUCUUUCGAUGCGUUAUCCCCCACUUAAGGAUACGUUCCGAUGCAUUACUCACCCGUUCGCCACUCGCCACCAGGGUUGCCCCCGUGCUGCCGUUCGACUUGCAUGUGUAAAGCAUGCCGCCAGCGUUCAAUCUGAGCCAGGAUCAAACUCU